UACGAAGGGGGCUAGCGUUGCUCGGAAUCACUGAGCGUAAAGCGCACGUAGGCGGAUUGCUAAGUCAGGGGUGAAACUCCUGGAGCUCAACUCCAGAACUGCCUUGAUACUGGCGAUCUUGAGUCCGGGAGAGGUGAGUGGAACUGCGAGUGUAGAGGUGAAAUUCGUAGAUAUUCGCAAGAACACCAGUGGCGAAGGCGGCUCACUGGCCCGGUACUGACGCUGAGGUGCGAAAGCGUGGGGAGCAAACAGG
rnacentral:rRNA from 1 species